UCUACACUGUUGGUUAAGGGCUUGUAAGUAAAGCAUUUCACUGUGAGGUCUACACUGUUGGUUAAGGGCUUGUCAGUCAGCAUUUCACUGUAAGGUCUACACUGUUGGUUAAGGGCUUGUAAGUCAGCAUUUCACUGUGAGGUCUACACUGUUGGUUAAGGGCUUGUCAGUCAGCAUUUCACUGUAAGGUCUACACUGUUGGUUAAGGGCUUGUCAGUAAGCAUUUCACUGUGAGGUCUACACUGUUGGUUAAGGGCUUGUCAGUAAGCAUUUCACUGUAAGGUCUACACUGUUGGUUAAGGGCUUGUCAGUCAGCAUUUCACUGUGAGGUCUACACUGUUGGUUAAGGGCUUGUCAGUAAGCAUUUCACUGUGAGGUCUACACUGUUGGUUAAGGGCUUGUCAGUAAGC